AUGCAGAGAGGCGAUUCAGAAAGCUAUGAGGUUCAGCCUGCCACUGAUUCAGUGUCUGCGUCGGAGCUACAUGUUGCAGGAAGAGAGCCAAGAAACGCAGAUAAAUAUCCAAGUCAAAGCAUUUCAGAGCAAAAUGGCAAGGGUGAGCCUAGAGUCAAGCCUCGGAGGAGCAAGAAAGGCUCAUCUCGCAAAACCAUUUCAGAGAAUUCUGAACUUUCUUCGGCACCUUCACGGAUUUGCGAUGACCAACAGCAUGUUUCAGAAGCAGAGCUAGUCAGUUGUGACACCAAACAUGUUAACUGUGGUAACAAUGAAGGUUCAUCUGGUGCACUUACUCAUGGUGAUUUUGCUGGACAGCUGCAGUGUCAGCAGGUCGAAAAAAAUGAACUAGUGUCACCACCAAAGUUGGAAUCAUCAAUAUCACCUGAUGGAGGGAAGUCAGUCAACUCAUUUCCCAGUUCCCACCCAGGCGUCUUUUUCGCAGUUCUUCGACGCCUCAAAGCUUGA
rnacentral:rRNA from 1 species